rnacentral:rRNA from 1 species
GGGUUGUGAGGUUAAGUGACUAAGCGUACACGGUGGAUGCCCUGGCAGUCAGAGGCGAUGAAGGACGUGCUAAUCUGCGAUAAGCGUCGGUAAGGUGAUAUGAACCGUUAUAACCGGCGAUUUCCGAAUGGGGAAACCCAGUGUGAUUCGUCACACUAUCAUUAACUGAAUCCAUAGGUUAAUGAGGCGAACCGGGGGAACUGAAACAUCUAAGUACCCCGAGGAAAAGAAAUCAACCGAGAUUCCCCCAGUAGCGGCGAGCGAACGGGGAGGAGCCCAGAGCCUGAAUCAGUGUGUGUGUUAGUGGAAGCGUCUGGAAAGGCGCGCGAUACAGGGUGACAGCCCCGUACACAAAAAUGCACAUGCUGUGAGCUCGAUGAGUAGGGCGGGACACGUGGUAUCCUGUCUGAAUAUGGGGGGACCAUCCUCCAAGGCUAAAUACUCCUGACUGACCGAUAGUGAACCAGUACCGUGAGGGAAAGGCGAAAAGAACCCCGGCGAGGGGAGUGAAAAAGAACCUGAAACCGUGUACGUACAAGCAGUGGGAGCACAGAGCAAUCUGUGUGACUGCGUACCUUUUGUAUAAUGGGUCAGCGACUUAUAUUCUGUAGCAAGGUUAACCGAAUAGGGGAGCCGAAGGGAAACCGAGUCUUAACUGGGCGUUAAGUUGCAGGGUAUAGACCCGAAACCCGGUGAUCUAGCCAUGGGCAGGUUGAAGGUUGGGUAACACUAACUGGA